rnacentral:rRNA from 1 species
GACGAACGCUGGCGGCGUGCCUAAUACAUGCAAGUCGAACGCUGAAGCUUGGUGCUUGCACCGAGCGGAUGAGUUGCGAACGGGUGAGUAACGCGUAGGUAACCUGCCUGGUAGCGGGGGAUAACUAUUGGAAACGAUAGCUAAUACCGCAUAAGAGUAGAUGUUGCAUGACAUUUGCUUAAAAGGUGCAAUUGCAUCACUACCAGAUGGACCUGCGUUGUAUUAGCUAGUUGGUGAGGUAACGGCUCACCAAGGCAACGAUACAUAGCCGACCUGAGAGGGGGACCAGCCCCCCUGGGACUGAGACACGGCCCAGACUCCUACGGGAGGCAGCAGUAGGGAAUCUUCGGCAAUGGGCGGAAGUCUGACCGAGCAACGCCGCGGGAGGGAAGAAGGUUUUCGGAUCGUAAAGCUCUGUUUUAAGGGAAGAACGGGUGUGAGGGGGGAAAGUUCACACUGUGACGGUAUCUUACCAGAAAGGGACGGCUAACUACGU